rnacentral:rRNA from 1 species
GGGGAAUAUUGGGCAAUGGGCGCAAGCCUGACCCAGCAACGCCGCGUGAGGGAAGAAGGUUUUCGGAUUGUAAACCUCUGUCGCAGAAGACGAAGGAAGUGACGGUAUUCUGUGAGGAAGCACCGGCUAACUACGUGCCAGCAGCCGCGGUAAUACGUAGGGUGCAAGCGUUAUCCGGAAUUAUUGGGCGUAAAGGGCUCGUAGGCGGUUCGUCGCGUCCGGUGUGAAAGUCCAUCGCUUAACGGUGGAUCUGCGCCGGGUACGGGCGGGCUGGAGUGCGGUAGGGGAGACUGGAAUUCCCGGUGUAACGGUGGAAUGUGUAGAUAUCGGGAAGAACACCAAUGGCGAAGGCAGGUCUCUGGGCCGUUACUGACGCUGAGGAGCGAAAGCGUGGGGAGCGAACAGGAUUAGAUACCCUGGUAGUCCACGCCGUAAACGGUGGAUGCUGGAUGUGGGGCCCGUUCCACGGGUUCCGUGUCGGAGCUAACGCGUUAAGCAUCCCGCCUGGGGAGUACGGCCGCAAGGCUAAAACUCAAAGAAAUUGACGGGGGCCCGCACAAGCGGCGGAGCAUGCGGAUUAAUUCGAUGCAACGCGAAGAACCUUACCUGGGCUUGACAUGUUCCCGACAGCCGUAGAGAUGCGGCCUCCCUUCGGGGCGGGUUCACAGGUGGUGCAUGGUCGUCGUCAGCUCGUGUCGUGAGAUGUUGGGUUAAGUCCCGCAACGAGCGCAACCCUCGCCCUGUGUUGCCAGCACGUCAUGGUGGGAACUCACGGGGGACCGCCGGGGUCAACUCGGAGGAAGGUGGGGAUGACGUCAGAUCAUCAUGCCCCUUACGUCCAGGGCUUCACGCAUGCUACAAUGGCCGGUACAACGGGAUGCGACAUGGCGACAUGGAGCGGAUCCCUGAAAACCGGUCUCAGUUCGGAUUGGAGUCUGCAACCCGACUCCAUGAAGGCGGAGUCGCUAGUAAUCGCGGAUCAGCAACGCCGCGGUGAAUGCGUUCCCG